rnacentral:rRNA from 1 species
AGAUAAAGUACAAGUCGUAACAAGGUUUCAGUUGGAGAACCAGCUGAAGGA